GUGGCGAACGGGUGAGUAACACGUGAGUAACCUGCCCUUGACUCUGGGAUAAGCGUUGGAAACGACGUCUAAUACCGGAUACGACCAGCCCUGGCAUCGGGUGUUGGUGGAAAGAAUUUUGGUCAAGGAUGGACUCGCGGCCUAUCAGGUAGUUGGUGAGGUAAUGGCUCACCAAGCCUACGACGGGUAGCCGGCCUGAGAGGGUGACCGGCCACACUGGGACUGAGACACGGCCCAGACUCCUACGGGAGGCAGCAGUGGGGAAUAUUGCACAAUGGGCGAAAGCCUGAUGCAGCAACGCCGCGUGAGGGACGACGGCCUUCGGGUUGUAAACCUCUUUUAGCAGGGAAGAAGCGAAAGUGACGGUACCUGCAGAAAAAGCACCGGCUAACUACGUGCCAGCAGCCGCGGUAAUACGUAGGGUGCAAGCGUUGUCCGGAAUUAUUGGGCGUAAAGAGCUCGUAGGCGGUUUGUCGCGUCUGCUGUGAAAACCCGAGGCUCAACCUCGGGCCUGCAGUGGGUACGGGCAGACUAGAGUGCGGUAGGGGAGAUUGGAAUUCCUGGUGUAGCGGUGGAAU
rnacentral:rRNA from 1 species